CUAGUCCCCUUUUUUUAGGUCGAACGUCGAACGUUCGUCACUAGUGUCACUGUCAAAUAUCCGUCAAUGUCAAAUUCCUAAAAAUGAAAACAAAAUUAUGUAGAUUGAAUUAAACUGUAAUGAAUUCCCAAAAUUCAUCGUUAUUUAAACGGUGAUAAACUUUAAUUAAUUAUUAUUAUUUAUUUUGAAUGAAAGCAACUGAUCCUGAAUGAUCAGUAAAAAUACCAAGAGAAAAACAAUAUACCAAAUGGAUGAAAGUUUCAAAGCCAAUAACCUCAAAAAUGGGCCCCCAAUUUUUACUUGGAUUUGAUCCAAUUUCCGGCAUACUGGAAAAGAAAAGAGGACUAGAUACUAGAGAUUUAGCCUUAACAGAAAAAUUAAUAUAGUGGCAGAUCAGAUCAGUCAAAAAAAUGUGAUUUACUGCAUCAGAAAUAAAAACAGUGAGGUAUCAAUUAAAAUUCUGAAAAGACCAUGAGAAGCAGUGUGGUGGUACAGAUUCUUCCAAAAUGUUUAAAGAAGUUGGAGCACAAUAUUAAAAUCAAAUAAGUGAAAAGAAGGCAGGCCUCCAGAUAUUGGAAAUAAUUUUCCCAUAUUUUAGACCCAUUAUGGUACAACUAAAAUAAAAGACAAAAAUACAAGGUCUUCAACCUCUUUUGAGUAACGGUAAACUUUCACAAUUCUUUUUUUCUUCUGUUUCGUUAAUCAUAGGCAGAUGGCCACUGUUAGCAUCGUCGAUAGCUUUUCUAAGCUCUCGUCCACCAACGACACCAAUCAGUUUUCCAAUAACCGUUACAUACGCCAUAUUCAAAUGCAUCAUGGAAAAAAGAGAAUGGACUUUCAGUAGCGAGGUUCUCUCUACUAAUUGAAAUGGUGCUGGAUCCACUUGACAGUCGGCAAAGUCAAUUUCUUCACUUAACUGCUUUUGUUCCCAUUCGAGUUGCUCUUGUUUUGGUAAGUCACAUAUACGGAUUUCUGAUAACUGAAAUAUAGAGCAUAUUAGCUGGAGGAAAUCGAUAAGGAGAAAUUAAAGUGUCUUAAGGAUAAGACAAAAAUAUGCUUGGAUGCUUUAGUAUGUACCUUUUCUCUUAUCGCCUUCUUUUUCCUAUUCGAGCUAUCUGGAAAUCCCAUUCGGUUUAAAUUGUACUUUUUAAAUACUCUGUUUCUCACUUCGUCUUUUUCCUAAAAUAGUUAUUGAUUAUUUUAACAUAGAGGCUAAAAAUAAAGGCUUUUUUAGAAAUCAAAUUGUAUUUUCUUACUUUUAACUCAUUUGUCUCUUCAUUACCACUUUGAUCUUCUGGAUUUUUAGUCUCAUAUUCAGGACGCUUUUCAAUGCUCUUUACUACUUCCAUUCUCCUCCAAAAGCCGAUUUGUCUUUCUACUAAGUCUAUUAACUCGGUUCUCGCUACACUACCCAAUAAAAUCAUAUUUUGGUUAUUAUCCACAAAUGGAAACACUUUAAUAUUUUUAUUAGCCUUAAGAAUCCCUUUUAGUUCUUCGUAUGUCAUUCCUAAGUAGAUGUAUUUGACGUUUUUGUUCAUAAAAUCUUCGACGCAUAUUUGGUAAAUUGCUAAAAACAGUUUCAGUUAGUAGGAUUAUACAAUUUUCUUUUAAAGGAGGAAAUCCUGAGGGAUACACCAAAAGCAGAUGCUCUACCAAAUAUACCCAAGGCUUAUUACUUCAUGAUGGUGCCUUUGAGGGAACACUUUUUUUUUCAAGAAAAUUAUUUUUUAAAAAUUGAGUAGGGAGCAGUCGCUUAGAUUAACAAAGUCUUUCUAACGUUACCAUAAGAUCUCCAUAACACUAGGGUAUUAUGGAGAUAGCGCGAGGACUUGUGGACUUUUUAAUUACUUUAGACAUUCCAGAUUGAUCGUUUUAUUAUGAAUAAUUUGCUAAUUUCUUUUUGCAUAGAUAGUGCCACUUUAUUGUAAGCUUUGUUUAUUUAUAUGUUAGGUAUUUUGUGAAUGUUAUGGUAAGUUUUUUGUUGAAUUUUCCUUUCUUCGUGUUACAUCAUCAUAAUUAUUGUAGGUCUGAUGAUGCCCUAGUCGGGCGAAACAUGUAACGUUCGUCUUUUUAUUAAAUGUUUUACGUGAUGCGGUAGAUUUGAUGUUUUGUCUUGUUUUUUAUAAAACGUAUGACCAGCAUCGUUGUGAAAUUGGAUGAAUUUUUCGAUUUAUAUUAGAGUUUACCUACCACUACUACUAGGAAGUAAAUCCGGUAAAAACGGUAAUUUUCCCGCCUGUAUGGCCAAAUCAUAAAUACUGGGAGUGAAAAACCGGGCGAUUCCAUUAGCGAUAAGGUUAGAAAUUAAAACCGGGAUUACGUGGCUAAUUUGUGAGGUCAUUUCAAACAUAAUCACGCUGGUUGAUAACGUGUGAGUUACAGCACCACUCCAGGCGGACGCCCCUACUGUUGCGUACGCACCAGGAAACCAGGUUGCCAUAAGUUCACCCGCUAUCCUUCCCAGAGCAGCACCAGCUCGGAAAUUUGGUAUAAAAGAUCCGCAAGGGAUAGGCAUUGAAGAAGCAAAUAUUGACGCCAAAAACUGAAAACUUAGUAAUCGCACAAAAGCAAUAUGGAUAUUUAUAGAUAGCUCACC